GACGAACGCUGGCGGCGCGCUUAACACAUGCAAGUCGAGCGAUGAAACUUUAACAGAACCCUUCGGGGCGAAGAUAAAGUGGAUUAGCGGCGGACGGGUGAGUAACACGUGAGUAACCUGCCUUAGACAUUGGGAUAGCCUCGGGAAACCGGGAUUAAUACCAAAUAAAAUCAUAAUGACACAUGUCAUAACGAUCAAAACUCCGGUGGUCUAAGAUGGACUCGCGUCCCAUUAGCUAGUUGGUAGAGUAAAAGCCUACCAAGGCGACGAUGGGUAGCCGGCCUGAGAGGGUGAACGGCCACAUUGGAACUGAGAAACGGUCCAAACUCCUACGGGAGGCAGCAGUGGGGAAUAUUGCACAAUGGAGGGAACUCUGAUGCAGCGACGCCGCGUGAACGAAGAAGGCUUUCGAGUCGUAAAGUUCUUUUAUAUGGGAAGAUAAUGACGGUGCCAUAAGAAAAAGCCCCGGCUAACUACGUG
rnacentral:rRNA from 1 species